GACGAACGCUGGCGGCGUGCUUAACACAUGCAAGUCGAACGGAAAGGCCCUGCUUUUGUGGGGUGCUCGAGUGGCGAACGGGUGAGUAACACGUGAGUAACCUGCCCUUGACUUUGGGAUAACUUCAGGAAACUGGGGCUAAUACCGGAUAGGAGCUCCUGCUGCAUGGUGGGGGUUGGAAAGUUUCGGCGGUUGGGGAUGGACUCGCGGCUUAUCAGCUUGUUGGUGGGGUAGUGGCUUACCAAGGCUUUGACGGGUAGCCGGCCUGAGAGGGUGACCGGCGACAUUGGGACUGAGAUACGGCCCAGACUCCUACGGGAGGCAGCAGUGGGGAAUAUUGCACAAUGGGCGGAAGCCUAAUGCAGCAACGCCGCGUGCGGGAUGAAGGCCUUCGGGUUGUAAACCGCUUUCGCCUGUGACGAGGCGUGAGUGACGGUAAUGGGUAAAGAAGCACCGGCUAACUACGUG
rnacentral:rRNA from 1 species